CCCCGAUCUCUUUUCAUUUGUUUUGGAUAUUACCAAACCUAGCCUAGCCUUCGUAAAUCACACUAAAGCGGACACCCAACUAUGGAAAAGCCUCCUUAAGGGUGGGUUAGGUUAGUCAAUCCGGCCCGAGACGCGUUCGUUGACAAAACCGCCGUAGGAAUUCCUACUUUUCAAUAGAGCGGAGGCGAACUGAUCAACGAGAAAGAGGCCCUACUCACUACAAACGAAUACACCACAAGAUUGAACUGCACUCAUGCCUCUCCCGCAUCAAGUUGACCGCCCCCCCUACGUAGUGAUUCUAUCAAUCAUGUACGUAGGUAGGACCCUCCAUUCUGAUUGGUAUAUCAUGAAAAAAGAAAGCCAUUUGCACCAGGCGCACUGCGCUUUCCCUUGCCCAGAUGUUCGCCUUUCUAAGUCAAGUAAUGGUGACCCACCGAAGACUGGAGCUUCGUAACAUGUUGACGAAGGCCCCCGAACUGAGGGUUCGGUCAGUAGAAGGGACGACUUUGUCUCCCCGGAAGAAGAAUAGCCCCGCUCUCUAGCCGACUGAUCCCGUUGAUCAUAUAACUGGGAGGGAACGUGUNUGUUUUGGAUAUUACCAAACCUAGCCUAGCCUUCGUAAAUCACACUAAAGCGGACACCCAACUAUGGAAAAGCCUCCUUAAGGGUGGGUUAGGUUAGUCAAUCCGGCCCGAGACGCGUUCGUUGACAAAACCGCCGUAGGAAUUCCUACUUUUCAAUAGAGCGGAGGCGAACUGAUCAACGAGAAAGAGGCCCU
rnacentral:lncRNA from 1 species